GAAGAGUAUUUUUGUUUCAUUAAAUGAUUAACACAUGUUUUGUGUGUCGGAGAACCCCAUUUCUUGACUGAAAUUUGAUUAUAGCCUGUAAAAUCGCCCGUUUAUGGAUUUCGGUCAAUUUCUAUUUGGACUUUGGAAAAACUUUCUUCUGUAAAGUUGUAGAGAAUUGAAUUUCCUAUAAAAAUUCGCAAGAUUUGAAUUUUCUGAUAAAAGGGCUAUUUAUUAUGAAUUAUUGAAGUUCCGAAGUUCCGAAAUAAUUGAUUUUUAGAAGUUUUUAUUAUUUUUUAAAAGAAAAACAUUUUUUUGUCAUUUGGUGGGCUCCAAUGGUGUUUCAAACAUGCUGAAUUCAGUUGUCAAAGAGGUGAGCGUGAAUAAUAUUUAUAAUAAUAUUAUUAUAUUAAAUUUUCUGCUUUGGUGUUUUAAGCAUUUUCCUAUAAAUAGGUGCUUAGGUUAGAAUUGAAAAUAACACCAGAAACUGAAGUUUUCUCUCUAUUUCUCUCUCUAUAAUAUCGAGCGUAUUUUAUGAGUAUUUUAGUACUUUGAGUAUUGUUAUACGGUGCAAGUUCGUUCAGCGUUAUAUCCGACAUUCCAGUACUGCUCUUUCGAGGUAAGGGAUUGUAAAGGAUAAUAAGGGAUAGUAAGGGAGAUUAUUUUCUUCAUAAAUGAUAUUGUUUCUUCAAUAUCAUUAUACCGAAAUAUUGGUUUGAAACUUUUUUAUGUCGGAGUUACUAUUCACGAGUUACUAUUCAUGAGUUACUAUUCACGAUUUACUAUUCACGAGUUACUAUUCACGACGGAUUACUAUUCAUGAGUUACUAUUCAUGAGUUACUAUUCAUGAGUUACUAUUCACGGGUACUAUUCA
rnacentral:lncRNA from 1 species